GUUUGGCUUUAUCAAUAUUUCGAUUUGAGCGUCACUGAUGAGUCUUAUGUAGACGAAACGCGCGUCUGGCGUACUAAAUUAUAAUCCUGGUACUUUUGAUAACUAUUUAAACCACUGGUCGAUGCCACUGCUGGUGGACGUUUCGUCCCCGAGGAUCACCAGCCCAGUAGUCAACAUUUCGGUGUUGACAUGAAUAUCAAUAAUGUGGUCAUUUUUAUAAAUUUCCUGUUUACAAAACUUUGAAUUUUUCGAAAAACUAAGGAUUUUCUUAUUCCAGCGUAGAUUACCUUAGCCGUAUUUGGCACAACUUUUUGGAAUAUUGGAUCCUCAAUGCUCUUCAACUUUGUACAUGUUUGGCUUUAUCAAUAUUUCGAUUUGAGCGUCACUGAUGAGUCUUAUGUAGACGAAACGCGCGUCUGGCGUACUAAAUUAUAAUCCUGGUACUUUUGAUAACUAUUACA
rnacentral:lncRNA from 1 species